rnacentral:misc_RNA from 1 species
GAUGAAGAACGCAGCGAAAUGCGAUACUUGGUGUGAAUUGCAGAAUCCCGUGAACCAUCGAGUCUUUGAACGCAAGUUGCGCCCGAAGCCUCGGCUAAGGGCACGUCUGCCUGGGCGUCACGCAUCGCGUCUCCCCCAAACCGCCAAGGCGGAGGGGAAGGAAGAUGGCUUCCCGUGCCUCACCCGGGCGCGGUUGGCCUAAAUUUGGAGCCCGCGGCACUUAGCUCUCGCGGCGAUAGGUGGUGAACAAGGCCUUGGCCGUGCAAACAACCCGCUGCGAAGCUCUAUGUCACGUGCGCUCGUCGGACCCUUUGAAGUUGCCUUUGGUGACUUAAAACCUUUGCGACCCCAGGUCGGGCGGGGCUACCCGCUGAAUUUAAGCAUAUCAAAAGCGGAGGA